rnacentral:rRNA from 1 species
GACAGAGGGUGCAAACGUUGCUCGGAAUCACUGGGCGUAAAGGGCGUGUAGGCGGGAAGGAAAGUCAGAUGUGAAAUCCCUGGGCUCAACCCAGGAACUGCAUUUGAAACUCCCUUUCUUGAGUGUCGGAGAGGAAAGCGGAAUUCCUGGUGUAGAGGUGAAAUUCGUAGAUAUCAGGAGGAACACCGGUGGCGAAGGCGGCUUUCUGGACGACAACUGACGCUGAGACGCGAAAGCGUGGGGAGCAGACGGG